AUCGAUGUGAAUGUCAGAAAUAUUUACACAAUGUCUGGAAAAGUUUGGGAAAGGCUCAGAAUGGAAUGUGAGCUACCCUGAGUUUGAUUCCCAGCAAAAGCAACAGAAUGUCUGGCCAGCAGCGGAUCCUCCGGUUGCUUACAGAAGAAACUCAAGUUAAACACGUAAGUAGGCUCUAAAGCUUCUUCCCUGGGCCAGAAGCUGGAGUCUGCAUGAUAAGGAAUGCAGAGUGGCUCCUAGCUGACAAUUAACAAGGAAACUGGUUCUUUACCACAAAAAGGAAAGCUAAGAACCCAACCACAUCUUCCUUUCCUCUCUCUAGCCAUGUGAUGUGAGACUUCGCACCUCCAGGACUGAGCUCGCAAACAGGCCUUACUUUAAGCCAUCGGGUGUAUGGUAAUUAGGUGUGCAGCAAUGGGGAGCCAUUGCAAGCUGUAGAGAAUAGGUGUAUCCAUGACAUAGGGUGACUUAAGUCUAGCCCGACCAGGUGCUUGCCUGGGAGUCAGGGCAAGUCAAUUCCUUCAUAGCCAUGUUUUAGAUAUAAUGGCACUAACUGUACAGUGCAAUUAUUACAUAAGUAAUACACUAGCCUAACCUCAGUUCCUCGGCUGAAUCAGGAUCUCUACAGAUAAGAUCUAUUUGCACAUAUAUAAUCUAGAUUUGUUUUUUUUUUUUUUUUAGGGGUUGGCCAAAUGACUUAAUCUGUGGUUUCUCAGUCUCCCAUUCUCAGUUCUCAGAAGAAACAUGUUUAAAAUGUUUUCUUAAAGCAGGUCACCAGGACACAUGCCUACAUGCCUGUAAUCCCAGCAUUGGAAGGCAGAGAAGGAAGGAUCAGAGCUCAUGGUCAUCCUUGGCUAUAUAGUGAAUGCGAAGGCAGCCUGAGCUACACAGAAGAUUGGAGGCUAGUGCAGGCCAUAAUAAAUGUUUUUUGAUAUCACCACAGGAACCUUCAACAAAGCAUACCUAAAAAUUAAUCGUUUUUCUUUCAAAGUUUUUCCUCUCUCUUUUCCUUUUUUAUUUUUUAUUUUUUUGGAGUCCAGGAUCUCACUCAAUAUGGGCCAGGCUGGCCUUAAACUCACCACGUAGACAAGGAUGACCCUGAACUCUGAUCCUUCUGCUUCCCAUCUUUCCUCUCCAGUCUCUUAACUGGUCUUACUCGUUCAUUGUUUUCUAGCUGAAAUCCUGUUUUUCACUGCUUAAAAACAAGCCUUCUUCCACUAGCUCAUGAAGCCUUCCUCCAGCACCUUGCUCAGUGGUUUUUUAUUUGGUUGGCUGGUUUUGUUUUGUUUUUAAGCUUAAGGACAAUUUUACUGUUGUUGAAGAGAAAAAGAGCACAGGUUAGGUAAGAAUACUAGGUAGAGAGAAAAAUCAUGCAUGUUAAGUCAGGCAUGGACGGCUGGGUGUAGUGGCACACACCAUCAGUCCCAGCACUCCUUGAGACAGAGGCAGAAGGAUCUCUGGGAAUUUGAGGCCAUCUUGGUCUACAAAGAGAGCUCCUAGAUAGUCAGGGCUACGCAGAGAGACCCUUCCUCUAAAAAUAACAAAAUAAAAUCUAUAAACGGUAUAGAUUUUAUAGAACCCCAGAAAUGGAGUGAGCCAAGCAAAGAGCCCCAAAAGCUGCUGAAUGUCUUGACUUUCAAUACAUGCAGUCACUUUCAGGAUGUGUUUGGACCUUGCUCUUGGUCUUUGUAACACAUUUGCCUCAGCCUUCCCCUAAUGCCUAUUUAGCCUUGGAACUCACAGCUCAAGUUCUUCUAGAGCAAACCCACUCUGAUAUGCCCUUGUCCACUUUCUUCCAACUCUCUACAAGCAACAGUACCUCACAACACUUGCAAAACUUGAUUGCAAUUGGCUGUUUACCUAAUCUCUUUUUUUGCUAUUUGUAUUCCCAGUCAGUUAGAUAUUAGGCUGAAGUAAAUGCGUAGUGAAUGAGGCUGAUUGGAUGAAUAAAAGAGAACAUUCCUAGCCAUAUCCUAAAGCAAACUUGUCUUUAGUAUCCCUAAAAUCACCUGGUCAAGCUGUGACCUCUACAGGCUAUUUAUGGAAGACUCUAGGAAUUGAUCAAGGUGCUGGGGAUCCAACCCCAGGCCUUGCAUGUACUCAGUGGCACUCUACAGUUACUCCCACAGCCCUUAAGCUCUUUAGGGUCUCCCCUUGAAAGACCCCCUCUUGUGACCACUCAGCUCCUUUCCUGAAGGAACAACAAUAAACCAAAGCAGCAGAGACUUGGGACCAGGGUUUAUGACAGGAGCUUCAGAAUGCUUCCAAUGGGGAAGAAAGGGUGUGGACAAACAUUGUGUGCUUCAUAACCUUGACAGGGUCUCAUGAGACCCAAACUGGCCUCAAAUUCACUGCUGCCAAGAAUGACCUUGAACUAUCCUCUCACUUCCGUGUCCCAAUGGCUAGGAUUCACAGGUGUUUCCCACCAUACCUGGAAGUCUUAAAUUUUGUUUAAAAUCGACAUCUAUAAUGAACAAAAUCUGAAAAUUUUUAAUCUU